AUGAUUCGGUUUCAAAAUCUAUAAUAAAAGUCUUCUGAUUAGAUGACUAAGUUUGAUUUUCUUUUCUUAUUUUAGGGUUUUGUUGUUUCUUUAAUAUUCUGCUAUUUAAAUGGUGAGAUUCAAGGCCUGAUUCGACGAUCACUCCAAAGAAUACGUCUGCAGAGGAGUCUGACUUCAACUUCCGAAUGGCGACGUUCGACUCGUUCAGAACCUUUGAGCAAAAUCGUUGCACCCCGUGGAAGACGUGGAGCUGUGAGACCUUUUCUUUAUGUGAAACAGUGAGAGAUAUGAUGAGAGAAUCUGUGCAUCGCAUGCGCUUACGGUAUUCAGUGGCCGAGAGGAAGACUGUUGUGCACCUUCCAGACCUUAACACGGCCAUGACCACUCAGUGUCACAACAAGAAUUCCACGAAGAGAGAAUCGUAUUCUAUAGAAGAAGUUUCGGAUUUCUUCUGACUUCUUAUUUAUUGCUAUUCCAAGAUCAGUUUCGGAUUUUUUUUUUUAAUGAAUCUUGAAAUUCCGCGCUCGACAGUUCAUUGCCGUGAAAAGAAAAUCUUAUUUUAAAGAGAAGAGACUUCCUUUUUAAUCAUUUCUUUACACACGAUCACAUCAAGAAAUCCUCGAAGAAAUUUUAUUCCAUACUAGAGUAAAUGGAAGGACGAAAUGGGUAUUCAUUCAAUUGCAAUUCUAUGGUCAAUGUUAGACUCCCGCUAUUCAUUCCAUCGUGGUUCAAUGAUUAGCAGAUUAAUAAGAAUUCCUUGAAUAAAUUUUGCUAUUGAAAUUCCGUGAUCAGCAAUUUAACAAGAACACCGCGAAGGGAAAUCUGAAAGAAAAGUGACUUCUUUUUGACUCAUUUCAUGACACGUGAUCAUCAGUGCAUCAAAGAAUCCGCAAAAGAAAUCUUACUCCUUCGAAGUGGAAAUGCAGGUCGAAAUGAAGAUUCAUUCGAUUGCAAUUCUAAGGUCAAUGUCGGACUCCCGCCAUUUAUUUUAUCGCGAUUCAAUGAUUAGCAUAUCAAUAGGAAUUUCUUGAGAGGAGAAUCUUCUUCUACAACCAAACUGUCUGGCUUCUUCUAACUUAUUCCAUUGCAAUUCCAUGAACAUUGUAAGAAUCUGUGUUAACGGGGAAUUGAAAUAACUGAUACAAGAUUCCAGCGUAUCUCCUUGAAUUUCAAAUGAUAAUGAACAAAUAUUUAAAAACAUUCUAAUCGUGUUACCUUCCACCACUUAAAAUGUCCAAAUUUAUAAGAAACUAUUGAAUCGAUUUUCAAGGAACCUUCCUAUAGUUUAAAAUCCUCUAUUUUUCCUGAAUCGUGUUAGUUAUUUUAAUACAAAAAAUUUAUAGUAUGACAUUUCUGUCGAAAAUUGACUAUAAAUACGUUUAAGCGAUACAGAAAUCGAUUUUUAAAACAUAACCAAGUAUAAAAAUGUGUGCUUUUAUAAAGAAAAAGUAAAAAUUGGAUAUGAAGGCAAUAGAUCCUGAGAAAAAUAAUCUUUUAUACAAAAAAAAUUAUCACUUUUAUUCUAUCUGCGAGAUUCAUUCUAUCUUAUUCUAUCUCGAGACUGAAAAGGAGUACAAAAAUAUAACUAAUAUUUUUGUUUAAAACUUAAUAUUACAAGUCGCCAAAUCAUUAAACCUGCCCUACAUUCAUCAUUUAAAUUUACAGAAAAAAUCCAAUUGUAUGCACUAUAUGCUAUUAAGCAUCAAUUGCGGAUAAGUACAUUUAAUCUUAUUCAUUGGGUUGAUGUAAAAGGUGUACAACUAAUGUAUAGAAGAUUCGUACAAUAAAUUUUAUACUGUGCAUAAAAAAUAUAUUACUCGGAUACAAAUUUUUGUUCAUAGUUGCUGUCAUUUUUGGUGUUAAGAUAAAUUAAGUACAUUUUUAUGAACAGAACUGUAAUUAUCGUGCGAAAGAUCAUAUGAAUGACGAAAUAACAAUUAUUUUAAAAAAUUAGCACGUAUAUACGAGGGUUGUUGUUUUUUUUUAAGUAAAGGGCCAAAUUAAUUUUCAUAUCCUAAUUACGCUUCUCUUUUUUUUCAGCAUAGUUACCAAGUUUGUUCAAACACUUAUCACGCCUUUCGACUCAAUUUAGAAUACAAACUUGCCUCCUGCUCCGUUAACCAAGUGGUCACGGCCGUUUUCACGUAUUCGUUACCGUUGUAGUGAUUGCCGCCAAAAUGAUGUUUGAAAUAUUGGAAAAGAUGAAAAUCACUCAGCGCAAGGUUUGGUCUGUAGGAAAGGGAGGUCCAAAACUUCCCUACCAAACGAGUCCAAUAAAACUGGGAUCUGAGCUGCAGAGAGAGUCAUUGUCAUAGAGUAGCAAAAUUCCUUGUAAGCAUGGCAGGGAAUUUUGCUACUUCACAAAUCUGCCAGUGAAUGUAUGCAGCAGACAGGUUUUUUGACGACUAAAAAGGCAUCACUUAUUGUAUAUCGUGCUUGGCUGGCGGUUUCUUAACUUAGAACAUUUCAAUGACAUAGAACUGACCUUACAGUUUCCCUACACACGUGCAACUGAACAGAGUUGUUCCCAAGGAAUGCUGGACGCGACGCACGCGUUACCUAUUAGAGUACACAACAAAACGGCUCUUACUUAAAAAUCAACCCUCGUAUUUCUAAAAAUGUGCUUGUUUUCUUAAACAAAUUUUUUACAAGUAAAGCCUUUAAAUUGAUUCUUAUGAGGCUAAAACUUAUGUCAGUAAACUAACAAACAAAGAAUGAAUAGAUAAAUAAAUAAAACUGUAACAAUGAAAAAAAAAAUUUAAAAAUGUGACUACAUGUACUGUAAAAAUUGUGAGCUACUUUAGUUAAAAAAAUUAUUCAAUUUAGUAAACAAUUUCUUUUUAGACAACAACGAAAAUAGUGGCAACUAUACACCAAUUUUUUUUUUACAAUGUACCAUUAAAUAUCCAAGAAGUAUAAUCGAAUGCGCGAUAUAACACGGAUUAAUUUUAAAUUUCGGAUUCAUAUUAUUAACUUUCGUACAAUUUGUAAUAAUAAUAUCAUUUUCAUACAGUUGAAUUUCGGAAUAGGAUAUCAGAAUGUGUGAUUUAAUGUUUACAAUUCAAUUACUCCUCAAUUACCGACCUUCAUACAAUUCUCGAAAAUCAGUAUGCAUUUUCAUACCGAUAAUUUUGGAGCAUUCUUACCGAGUGUGUGAUAUAACAAUUAAUCUUCAAUUAUCGAUUCGUACAUGUAAUCUUCAUACAAUUCGUAAAAAUCUGUAUCCAUUUAGUGUGCAUUUUCAUAUAAAUAAAUUUAUCCGAAUGUGGA